UCCAGACUCCUACGGGAGGCAGCAGUGGGGGAUAUUGCACAAUGGGGGGAACCCUGAUGCAGCGACGCCGCGUGGGUGAAGGAGCGUUUCGGCGCGUAAAGCCCUAUCGGCAGGGAAGAAGGAGGACGGUACCUGACUAAGAAGCCCCGGCUAACUACGUGCCAGCAGCCGCGGUAAUACGUAGGGGGCAAGCGUUAUCCGGAUUUACUGGGUGUAAAGGGGGCGCAGACGGCAGCGCAAGCCAGGAGUGAAAGCCCGGGGCCCAACCCCGGGACUGCUCUUGGAACUGCGCGGCUGGAGUGCAGGAGGGGCAGGCGGAAUUCCUGGUGUAGCGGUGAAAUGCGUAGAUAUCAGGAGGAACACCGGCGGCGAAGGCGGCCUGCUGGACCGUGACUGACGUUGAGGCUCGAGAGCGUGGGGAGCAAACAGGAUUAGAUACCCCAGUAC
rnacentral:rRNA from 1 species